GUCAGCAUAGCAUAGUGGUUUGAGUGUUAGCCUAUGACUCUCAAAACCAGGGUUUGAUUCCCAGCUUGGCCA